GUGAAUCAUCGAAUUUUUGAACGCAAAUUGCGCCUUUUUCGGACGGCAUGUCUGUUUGAGGGCACCAUUUAACAAAUAAUGUGCAGCGUUUUUUGUUGCACACGUCGAUGUGCUUUCCUAUAAUUUUAAAUUUUCUGUGUCGCAUAAUGAACUGCGUGUAAGUUUUUUUCAGUUCGAGUGUAGUAAAAUCUAUGCUUGUGUUGUGAAUAAACAUAAU
rnacentral:misc_RNA from 1 species